AGAGGAACACCAGUUGCGAAGGCGGAUCUCUGGACGGUUCCUGACGCUGAGGCACGAAAGCUGGGGUAGCGAAGAGGAUUAGAUACCCUCGUAGUCCCAGCCGUAAACGGUGCGCACUUGCUGUGGGCGGAUUCGACCCCGUCCGUGGCGAAGCUAACGCGUUAAGUGCGCCGCCUGGGGAGUACGGUCGCAAGAUUAAAACUCAAAGAAAUUGACGGGGGCCUGCACAAGCGGUGGAGUAUGUGGCUUAAUUCGAUGCAACGCGAAGAACCUUACCUGGCCUUGACAUGUAGUGGCCCGGGUGCGAAAUCACCCUUUUCUUCGGAACUGCUACACAGGUGCUGCAUGGCUGUCGUCAGCUCGUGUCGUGAGAUGUUGGGUUAAGUCCCGCAACGAGCGCAACCCCCGUGUUCUGUUGCCACCCGGAUGAGAAUCCGGAGCACUCUGGACAGACUGCCUGGUUUCAACCAGGAGGAAGGUGGGGAUGACGUCAAGUCAGUAUGGCCCUUACGGCCAGGGCUGCACACGUACUACAAUGCCUGAUAUAAUGGGAAGCGAGACCGCGAGGUGGAGCAAAUCCUCAAAAUCAGGCCCAGUUCAGAUUGUAGGCUGCAACUCGCCUACAUGAAGGAGGAAUCGCUAGUAAUGCCGUAUCAGCUACGACGGCGUGAAUACGUUCCCAGGCCUUGUACACACCGCCCGUCACAUCAUGAAAGUCGAUUGUACCCGAAGUCGCUGCGUUAACCGCAAGGAGACAGGUGCCGAAGGUAUGGUUGGUAAUUGGGAUGAAGUCGUAACAAGGUAGCCGUAGGGGAACCUGUGGCUG
rnacentral:rRNA from 1 species